rnacentral:snRNA from 1 species
AUCGUUUCUUGGCCUUUUGGCUAAGAUCAAGUGUAGUAUCUGUUCUUAUCAGUUUAAUAAAAUAAAGAUAAAAAUAAAAGUUUUUUGGUAUAUGCACAUCAU